rnacentral:rRNA from 1 species
UAGUAACGGCGAGUGAAGCGGGAUGAGCUCAAGCUUAAAAUCUCUGUGUCAGUUUGGCAUGGCGAAUUGUAGUCUAUGGAGGCGCUGUCAGUGCGACUAUUCGGGGUAAGUUCCUUGGAAGAGGACAGCAUCGAGGGUGAUACUCCCGUAUGUACCUGUGUAGUUGCGCGUACGACACGUUUUCUUUGAGUCGCGUUGUUUGGGAAUGCAGCGCAAAGUAGGUGGUAAAUUCCAUCUAAAGCUAAAUAUUGGUGCGAGACCGAUAGCGAACAAGUACCGUGAGGGAAAGAUGAAAAGAACUUUGAAAAGAGAGUUAAAGAGUACCUGAAACUGCUGAAAGGGAACCGAAUCGUUUCCAGUGUCUAUAAUCUAUGGCAUAUUUCAUUGGCGCGUGGAUGUGUGUAGCGUUUUGGAAGUAGGUUUCUGCUCCUGGCGUUGCUUUGCGUUCGCUUGCUGGUGCCCUGUGCUGUAGUGGGACGUCAGAGUCAGUUCGUAUGUUGCGGGAAAUGGUUAUUGGGGAGGUAGGUCGCUUCGGUGGCUGUUAUAUCCUGGUAACUAGUCGUCGUGGCUGGGACUGAGGUGCCUACAAUGUGCUUUCGAGUCUGCGGGCCUCUCGUUUGGCUGUUUGCUUUGAUAGCUUGCUAUGUUAGUGAACGUGUCAGGCGAUUGAGACCUGUAGUAACUUGUUGCCGUUCGGGACUUUGAC